CGCCUUGCCAGCCCGCUCAGAAACUUAAAGGAAUUGACGGGGGCCCGGCACAAGCGGUGGAGUAUGUGGUUUAAUUCGAUGCAACGCGAAGAACCUUACCUGGUCUUGACAUCCCGGAGACCCUUAGGAAACUAGGGGGUGCUUCCAUCUGGAAGAAUCUGGAGACAGGUGCUGCAUGGCUGUCGUCAGCUCGUGUCGUGAGAUGUUGGGUUAAGUCCCGCAACGAGCGCAACCCUUGCCUUUAGUUGCCAGCAGUUCGGCUGGGCACUCUAAAGGGACUGCCGGUGUUAAACCGGAGGAAGGUGGGGAUGACGUCAAGUCCUCAUGGCCUUUAUGACCAGGGCUACACACGUACUACAAUGGCCGAUACAAAGGGCAGCGACACUGCGAGGUGAAGCCAAUCCCGUAAAAUCGGUCUCAGUCCGGAUUGGAGUCUGCAACUCGACUCCAUGAAGUUGGAAUCGCUAGUAAUCGUGGAUCAGCAUGCCACGGUGAAUACGUUCCCGGGCCUU
rnacentral:rRNA from 1 species